rnacentral:ncRNA from 1 species
UUUUUUCGGCGAUGCCCAACUCGACUUUCUGCCCCGGAGCCAGCGGCUCCGCGCUUGGCACAACAAUGGUAUGCGUGGUUUGCGGCCCUAAUUUAUUCAGCACGCGACUGCCGCAUCCCGCACGGGAGGCGCAGCUGCUGCAUGACGCUUUAACGUCGCAGCUCACCACCGCCUGACCAUUCUGCCAGGAGAUAACGGUUGCCCACUCUUUAAUCAUUGUACUGCCCUGAAUUUGAUACUGUCGGGCAAUGCGC